GAUGAACGCUGGCGGCGUGCCUAAUACAUGCAAGUCGAGCGAACAGAUGAGAAGCUUGCUUCUCUGAUGUUAGCGGCGGACGGGUGAGUAACACAUGGGUAACCUACCUAUAAGACUAGGAUAACUCCGGGAAACCGGGGCUAAUACCGGAUAAUAUUUUGAACCGCAUGGUUCAAUAGUGAAAGACGGUUUCGGCUGUCACUUAUAGAUGGACCCGCGCCGGAUUAGCUAGUUGGUAAGGUAACGGCUUACCAAGGCGACGAUACGUAGCCGACCUGAGAGGGUGAUCGGCCACACUGGAACUGAGACACGGUCCAGACUCCUACGGGAGGCAGCAGUAGGGAAUCUUCCGCAAUGGGCGAAAGCCUGACGGAGCAACGCCGCGUGAGUGAUGAAGUUCUUCGGAUCGUAAAACUCUGUUGUUAGGGAAGAACAAAUUUGUUAGUAACUGAACAAGUCUUGACGGUACCUAACCAGAAAGCCACGGCUAACUACGUGCCAGCAGCCGCUGUAA
rnacentral:rRNA from 1 species